CUGUUCUUUACCUUGUGUGCAAAUUUUCCAAUGAAUGGACCAAUGCAAGUGCUCCAAAAUUGCCUAAAAUAACUUCUUUACAUUAACUGUCAUUAAAAGUAAACACUGUUUUUGCCCUAACCUGUAAACUAUUUUUGAGAUACGUGUUUUUCUUUGGACAACGAUAAUAGGCUCUUUCAGUGUCUCUACACACAGGUGUUAUUCUGCUCUUACUCUCUGAGAUGUGUGAGGAGCAAAUUUCACCAUCAUCUGCAGAGGAGAAAACAGCUUCUCCAGAGGCAGAAAAGCACACAGAGAUUUUCCCUGAUGAGGAAUCAGAUCAUGAGCAUGAACAGACAGAAGAAGAGGGACAGUCGUCCACAGAGGAUUCUGGUGCCGUUCUGCUCUCAGUCGCUGAAAGUUUUGAGGAGGAAAUAUCACCAUCAUCUGCAGAGGAGAAAACAGCUUCUCCAGAGGCAGUAAGGCACACAGAGGUUUCCCCUAGUGAAGAAUCAGCUCAUGAGCUUGUACAGACAGAAGAAGGGCAGUUGUCCACAGAGAAGAUUCCAUCACAUUCUGAUGUUGUUCAGCUCUCAGUCUCUCAGACUUGUGACGACGAAACAUUACCAUUAUCCACCAAAGAGGAAAUGGUUUCCAGUCCAGUGGCAGUAAAGCACACAUUGGAUUUCCCUGAUGAAGAACCAGCUCAUGAGCUUGAACAGAAAGAAGAACAGGGACAGUUGUCCACAGAGAAGAUGUUUCCAUCACAUUCUGGUGUCGAUCUGUUCUCAGUCUCUGAGACUUGUGAGGAAGAAACAUUACCAUCAACUGCAGAGAGGGAAACAACUUCUCCAGAGGAAGUAAGGCACACAGUGGAUUUCCCUGGUGAAGAAUCAGCUCAUGAGCUCAAACAGACAGAAGAAGAAGGACAGUCAUCCACAGAGACAUUUCCUUCACAUUCUGGUGUCAUUCUGCUUUCAGUCUCUGAGACUUGUGAAGAAGAAAUAUCACCAUCAUCUGCAGAAGAGAAAACAGUUUCCAGUCCAGAGGCAGUAAGGCAUACAGUGGAUUUCCCUGAUGAAGAAUCAGCUCAUGAGCUUGAACAGAAAGAAGAACAGGGACAGUUGUCCACAGAGAAGAUGUUUCCAUCACAUUCUGGUACAGUUGUCUUCAAAUAUGGCACUUAUGUCUGUGAGGUUAGACUAAAUUAAAUACUUAAUUUAAUG
ensembl:lncRNA